AUUGAACGCUGGCGGCAGGCUUAACACAUGCAAGUCGAGCGGGGUGAUGGUGCUUGCACUAUCACUUAGCGGCGGACGGGUGAGUAAUGCUUAGGAAUCCGCCUAUUAGUGGGGGACAACAUCUCGAAAGGGAUGCUAAUACCGCAUACGUCCUACGGGAGAAAGCAGGGGAUCACUUGUGACCUUGCGCUAAUAGAUGAGCCUAAGUCGGAUUAGCUAGUUGGUGGGGUAAAGGCCUACCAAGGCGACGAUCUGUAGCGGGUCUGAGAGGAUGAUCCGCCACACUGGGACUGAGACACGGCCCAGACUCCUACGGGAGGCAGCAGUGGGGAAUAUUGGACAAUGGGGGGAACCCUGAUCCAGCCAUGCCGCGUGUGUGAAGAAGGCCUUAUGGUUGUAAAGCACCUUAAGCGAGGAGGAGGCUCUUUUGGUUAAUACCCAAGAUGAGUGGACGUUACUCGCAGAAUAAGCACCGGCUAACUCUGUGCCAGCAGCCGCAGUAA
rnacentral:rRNA from 1 species